rnacentral:rRNA from 1 species
UACGUAGGGGGCAAGCGUUGUCCGGAUUUAUUGGGCGUAAAGAGCGUGUAGGCGGCCAUGUAGGUCCGUUGUGAAAACUCGAGGCUCAACCUCGAGACGCCGAUGGAAACCAUGUGGCUAGAGUCCGGAAGAGGAGAGUGGAAUUCCUGGUGUAGCGGUGAAAUGCGCAGAUAUCAGGAGGAACACCAAUGGCGAAGGCAGCUCGCUGGACGUGACUGACGCUGAGACGCGAAAGCGUGGGGAGCAAACAGG